rnacentral:lncRNA from 1 species
GUCCUUCGCGUAAAUUCAAAAAUCCGCAGAUUUUCUUUCAUAUUUAUCUAUUUAUUUCCUUAUAUUUUCCCUAAAAUAAGUUUCCGAGCCGAAACUCACAAAAAUAGGGUUGAACGAUCAGACGACUCUGCCUUGUUCUCCAAGUCGUCCUGUUUUAAUUAAUCAACGCAGCUCAGUGACUUACUCUGCAAUUCUCAGAUUGCAAAUAGAAAGGAAUGGUUUCCUUUUUUUCAUGAUCGAUUCCGAAAAUCUCCAUGGCUCUCCCUCUCGGCAAGCUCACUAUCCUCGUUGGUGCUGGUUCGUACUCUCUGUUUCUCCGUUACUCCUCCCGUAUCAAUUUUUCUUUUUUGUUUGGUUAUAGUGAGCUUAGCUGGAUUUUUAGUUAAUACUUUAUGCUCUGGGUGAAAUAGGAUGUGUAGCGCGUAUUAUGUUAUUUAUUAUCUGAACCCGUUUUGUUGCUAUCAAAAGUUUUGAGUUGCAAAUUUUUUAUGGUUUGCUAAACCCUAAGUGUAUGAAUGGCAAUUGGCAAUUGAAGUACUACAGCCUUUAUUGGCGCAAAAAUAGAGUAGGUUUGCCGUAUUUGAUAUGUGGAAACAACCUCUUUGCCGAAAAUGCAAAGGGGAACUUGGGGAGCAAUAACCCUUGAAAACUUUUGGGCAUCUUUCAUGCCUUAACAAAGUAGAAGAAUUGAAGAUUUUGGAGAAAAAAGUAAUGAUUCGACAGUAAUGCAUAAGGAGAGUAGCUUGAGGGGAUGAAGUUGAUUCUAUACAACUUUUGGAUUUCACACAUGGGGAGAAAGAACUAUGAAUGGCGUUUUAAAGAUUGCAAUUUUCUCGUAUUCCAGAUAAUUUUCAUCUGGAGGAACUAAAAUUAAGAUAAUAAAAAGGGCAGCCCGGUGCUUUAAGUUCCCACUAAGCGCGAGUCUGGGGAAGAGUUGGAUCACAGUGGUUCUCAUGUACACAAUAUUAUCUUGUAUUUCUGUCGGAGGCUAUUUUUGCGGUUUGAACUCGUGACCUCCUAGUCACUGGCUGCAACUUCUACAAGGCUCCCCUCCUAAAACUAAUAAAUCAAAAACAAUAAAAUCUAUAAGGUAAAACAAGUGUGUCAACAACAACAACAACAACAACUACCCAGUAUAUUCCCACCAGGUGGGGUCUGAGGAGGGUAA